CGCGGACUCGCCCCAGAUGAGCAGAUAGAGAGCCACGUACAGCAAUUCGCGGCGGAGGGUCGGGACGUCGACGCGGAAGGCGGUGGAGAGCCCGAGGAGUUUGUGGCGCAUCCCGAGGUAGGAGCACCAGAGGGUGUAGUUGCGGAGGAGCUUCUUGCGGAAGGAGCGGACGACGUCGGGGUCGAGGGCGUCGGCGUUCCGCGGCGGGGGGUUGAGGCGCAUUUGGGCGUUGGCGAGGUGGAGGACCAGGUGCUCCCGCUGGUUGCCGACGUUGUCGGCCUGGAAGCCGAAGAGGGCGGCCAGCCAGUCGAGGAGGUCAGCGCCGGCGCCGGGGGACCAGUCGGAGAAGGGCGGCCGGCGGAGGUCGUCGACGAUUAGGAGGGCGACGGAGGCGGCGCGCACCUCCGGGAUCCGGAGGGAGGGGUGGUCGAUGACGUUGGUGUGGAUGGGGAUGAUGUUGUAGACCUCGUCCGGCGGCGGCGGCGGCGCGUAUAGGGGCACGCGCCCGCGCGUGGGCCGGAGACGCUGGCGUAUGUACAUGGAGGGUUGGGUCGGCCACGCGCUUGCUCAGUUAUUGAGUUCGUCCGUUGCCAUCAUCACCAUCAUGGCAGUGGCGAUGCAGAAGCAGCUGCUGCUGCUGAGAAAGCGGAAGAGUUUUUCAGUUUUAAAAAGAGAAAGAGAGGGAAAAGAGAGGGAGAGAGUAUAUUGUUAUGUAAAUUAAUUAUUUAAUUGCACGCGUCCUUGAGAUUCCUCGCGGCCGCCAUCAUCUCGACAGGUUGAACAGUUGAAAAUCUGGUGCGGGGGCGUGGGAAAGAAAACGUGCGGCAUUUCACUUGUCCGGAAAACUCGCUGCUUGGACAGUUGAAAAACGUCUGUCCUUUUUUUCGUCUUUUCUUGGGGUCGUGUCGGAGGCGAGUGAAGUCCAGGCACCUUCAUUACAAUAUACGCGAAAGGUCUCGCCAGUCGCCAGUCGCAGCUCGCUGCCACCGUGUAACGUACGGCGGUCGUGGAAAGUAGCGCCAGCUCUUUUCGCGGGAAGUACUAAUUUUUUGUUUUCUCUCUCUCUCUCUCCUUUCGAAAAUGACCUUAUCGAAAUCGAAAAUCCUCGUACCCAAUCAAAAAGAUAAAAAAAUUAAAACUAACUAAAAAUCAAUUCGUUAAACCGCACGAGUUCAAAUUCCCAUAUUCUCAUGAGAUUGGGAUGUAGACGAUUAACUUUAAAUAUAUGUUUCGACUCAAGCACCUAUAAAAAAACAAGACAAAAAUCUAAGCAUAAAUUAAGAGUUAAACUAAGACCGAUAAAAAGGACAAAUUUUGGGACAACGGUUGACGAGUUUACGAGGAGUGUGAUUCGGUCUUUUGAUAGUGGGGUUUUUGGUUUGGAGGCACGUGAACUGCCUUUUUUCUUUUUUCUUUUUAAUUUUAUAAAAGAUAUAAAAGUCUGCAAGUAGUUGGCAAGUUUGACUAAAUCUGACACAUGUUUGCAAUAUUGUCAACCAUCUAAAGUGAGAAUGAGUAUUCAAAGGUAUGUGGUGGCAUUACACGAUCCUAGUGCACAUGAACUCGAUGCAUGUACACUAAAUCAUUAGUAUAAUUCGACUGCUUGAUCGGGCCCAUUUCGAAGUCCAAUAAGAAGGUUUACAUCCCACGAAGGAUAGGAAUUUGCAGCUACAAAGAAUAGAGCAGAUUAGGUUAUGUGAUGAUGGCCAUAAAGUUGUUCGUAGCACAAUAAGCACAAGAUAUUCGAAUGAUCUUUUUAAUUUAUUUGAUCGACUCUUUGCAUUACUAUAUAAACAUGUCUUGAGUUAAAACGAGCUCACGAUGGUCACUGAUUUUGUCCUCUUUUCUUACCCUAUAACUAUAAGUUGGCAAACAAAUUUCUUUUAAUAUAUAUCUCAAAUUACAUCAUAAGCCAUCGUGCAAAACGUAAUAACCCAAGUCGAUAUCACUAACCACCCUAUAAAUUUCCAAAAAUUAUACAUUCAUGGGCUCCGUCGACAUGUGUAGUAAAAAUGCAGUAAGAGAUUACUCCAUUAAUGCAUACAAUAUAACCAAUCCUUACUCAUAUACGUUACAUGCCCCACAAGGUAGUAUCCAAAGCGAAGUAUACAUUAUAUGAAAUGCAAAAAUUCACUUGCUAAGUAGCCGAUAUUACAAGAGCCUAAGGUUUUAGGACGAAGAGAGAGUGGAGGGAGCAUAAAAGGAGGAUCAGGUAAAUCACUGCCGCGACAAAGCCGGCAAUGAGAGCGCUGGUGACCAGGUCGCAAAACUUGGGGACUUGCCCACAAAUUGGGAACCAACCGGCAUGGCUAUUCCCUUUCUUGCCCACCUGGCCUAUGGCCACUGCAGCUGAAAUGCUGGAGUUCAGGAGCAUUGCAAUGACCUAGGGAUGGACACAGAGAGAAAUCAUAUAUAUAUUAGGAAAGACAAUGUCAUGAAAUUUAUUUAGAACGAGAGUGAAAGGUAUGAAAUGAUUGUCUAUGAUCGCUCAAAGCAUAGACUCGAUCGUUGCAAGUUGAUGUCAUCAUCAUCGUAAAUGGAUGCCAGAAGCCUGAGAUAAACCCGGCUUGUUUGAGCUAAGUAAUUUAAAUUGUUAGAUUGCGAAAAACCCACGGCGAUGUUGUCUACCCAAUCAAUGGUUCCGGAUGGAAUGAGGUUCACACAACCAUCCACAAAAGUAGUGGAAUCAGGUUAUUACAGGGCAAAGUAAAGUGAAAUGUCCACCUUGUUUUGCUGGAAAACGAGUUGUUUAGUUUCAUUUCAAGAGGCUACUCCGUAAAAUCAUAGGCACAAGUCGCUCACAGUAGAAACUAUCUAAGAGGAUGAAAAAGUCGCACUAUUACUAAAUUAUGAUUGAUUCUAUCGAUUAUGUCAGUAACGAAAUAAGUUAUAUAUAUAUUUCCUCAAAUCCUAUGUGGACAUAUAUCUUUUCCAAAACCCUUAUCAAUCAAACGUAUGGAAAUCAAUCCUAGUUACAAUACUUAAAUUACUAGACCUUAAACAUAUUUUCCUAUGUAGAACAAGAAAAUACAUGAAUUACAGAACUCUAAGAUAUGUUUGAAGCUAAAAGCUCUCAUUCGCCAAUUAAUUUUUAAGUCGUAUUCACAUUGCUUUGUAAUCAUGUCAAAGAUUAGGUGUACAAGAGUAAGUGCAGUAGUUGAAUCUUGAUAGUGUGAUUUAUCAUUUGAAAAUGAUUGGUAUUUGCAAUUUGUAACUUGUUGUGCAGAUUAUUAGUGUAAUCCAACUCGACUUAUGAUUGUUAGUAAGGAAAAUGGAAUUAGGCUUGAGAAUGAAACCAGGAUCACUAUAUAUUAUUGUGUGCACUUAUUUUUCUUACUCUUACUGGCUUUAGCACACAACUUGAAUCACUCUGAUUGAAAUAUUUGCUUGACCUAAUCUUUGCAAAAGUUGCUAACACAUUCCACAAUUUCCAUGCAACCAAUUCAGCCUCCCUCUAAGUUGUAUUAUUAGCCCCAACACAAGGACGCUAAUUAGACGAUUAGUGUAAUCAAGUUCCUAAACCUAAAAUCUCUAAUUCGAGAACGGUGAGAUGCCAUCCCGCAUUUCACUUGGACCUUUAUUGGCCUAGGAAAGGUUAGUGGCUGUUUCAAAAUGAAAAAAUAAAAUAAAAAAUAUGGCUAAUCAUAAUGAACCGAGUCAACUAAAUGUCACAGAUUGGUAAGAACUCACACAUGACAACAUGCUGUUAGACAAAACUAGAAAUGUAAAAGUUCAAGGAAUACUUAAUGGUAUGGAAUUACCUCAAGUUGGACAUCAGCGGGACCGCUGGCCUCUGAGAAUACGGGAUAUAUAUUUUUUUUUUAGGACUAAGAGAAUACGGGAUAUUUGGAGGCCCCGUCUAAAUGCUUCAUUAAACAAGAUUCUUAUCUGCGCCACCUGGAUUCCCGGCAACCAUGAGAGCAAAGCCACAGGAGCCAUCACAAUAAUUCCAAACAGCAUAUCAUACAGCCGGGCCAACGAAACCACGGUACCCCACACCACAGUGGACUCCAAAAAUGGUCUAAGUACCAGGGCAAUGGAUAUAAGGCCCCAUCCUGUGGGGACAAAUGCAAGGAGGCCCUUGACAAGGUCGAGGAAUUCGAAAUGAGUGAACUCCAGCGAUACGAUGAUCACAAAAAGCACGACCACAAUGGCAAGAAGCUGUAUGAGACGAUAGUAUUUGUGUUCCUUAGCAGCAUAUUUAUCUCGAGCAUAUGCCAUGAUCACAUAUAUAGCAAUGGCCACAACCAUGUAUAUCCAUGAUAGCAGGUAUAUAGCAAUGCUAGUGUUACCCCGUGUUAUACCCAAGUGAUGUACGACACCAUACUGAAAAAGGAAGAAUCGAAGGUCUAGAAUGAUCUCCAAAAGCUUGCCCCAACGUCCUGUCAUCCUCAAAUGGUCUUGUUCCUCGUCCCACCAGGUCUCCCAGCUCUGGUCCGCCUUAAUAAACAACCCUCCACGAUUCCAUAUCCACUUCAUGAAAUCAUCGUAAUCAAUCACGGUCUUCAACCAAUCAAAGCCUGAAGGGUUAAAUAUAAAUGGCGACAUUAUCCACGAGACGACUAGAAACCAGCUGGAGAUGGUCAUGGGUAUGUAAAAGAAUGCGUCCUUGGCCAUGGGGCUCCGUGAGGCAUACAAUACCAGAAUAGCCCCGAGCUCGAUGCCCUUCACGAAGUGACUGCGAGCAUACAGUCGAUAGUUCUCAGCGAAGCUUUUGUGCUCCACCACGAAACCACGGCCAGUGGCUUGGUAUUUUGCACCCCCAUGAAGAAUAGUCCGACCAAAAUAGUGCACGCGAGUCCCCAAAGAGAAUGUGUAGAAGAAUGAGGCAAGCUGCAACUGCAUCGUAAUGAAGUCCCAAACUGCUGGGAGGAAUCCAUGCUCGAGAGAGUUCUCUACAAUCAUUGGAAGAGCAGUCAAGAGGCCAAGCUGGACGGCAAACUGCUGGUUGAGAAUAGCCCCGAGAGCUUCAUUGUUGACACUAUCAUUAAUAGCUCUCCCUUCGAUGCCACUUAGAGCAAUAUACAGGCGACCCCACAAAAAUGUGUAAACGGUAAGAACCACUAUCAGUGAGUUGAAGUAGAACCCUACAGUUGUGUAGAAGACAGACAGCAUCCGGAAAAAGUCUAAGCGGUGACCCAGCCUAUAUAUGUCUCUGCUCAGAACCUGCUCACCAUUGCCGCUAGCGACCUUGGCCUCAAAUAGAGAUAUCUGAUUCAACCCAACAUCCCUUCCCUUACCCACUUGAAUAUAUUCGUGGUGUGUUACAUUCCCUCCUCUCAAUGUACAGUUGAAGCCGGCAAAUAUAUCCUCACUGAUGUUGAUCACCUUGGAAGCCUUGCUUAUCCCUCCGCGGGUUAAGAACCAAAACCUAUCAAAAACAUCUGGGUGACCAUAAUGCAUACGUACCUUCAAAGGGUUCGCCAGAACACGCUGCCCCAAAGUCACGAAACUCAUUUCCUGGGCAGACAUAAACCAGGCAAGAGAGGACACAGAGCCAGAGAAAACAUUUUCACGUACUCCUAAAAUCGUUGGCUUCCUGAUCCCGUAAAAUUUCUUAAAUUCUUCCAACAGAUUACGCAUUUUGAGUGCCUCCUCAAAGUAAUUGUCUUGGUUCAUGUCGAUGGUUUGGAGCGCAUCCCCCCGAGUGAAGAUUAUUGCGUGGUUCUGAUUCUCUGGCUUUCCUUCCCCAAGCUUCACAGGGCCCGGCAACUGGAUCCGGUAGAUCUCGACCUCCCUCUGCAGUUGCUGGUCGUACUUCACCAGAACGGAGUAAAAUUCUACUUCUUCCCUCCCCGAGUGAACCUCAUCAACGUAUGCAACUCGAAGGGCCUCGUUCUUCUUCAUAAGAUACAAAAUAUCUUUGGCACGCUGGUCUUUAUUUGCUUUCUGAAUGCCAUAGACCUGACAGGUGAUCACAUAUGUGAACUUCAUUAGGGCACACGCAUUCUCACUCCCCUUCAACAGAAGACUCACACCACUGGGUGCUCUAUCAAGCGUCCGUGAAGCCGGCAUCUGGACGGAAGGAGGACCAUUCAAGCUGGCAUUGGACCUGAGUGAAUGAUGAGAAGCGAUGUUUUGUAUACCCAUCCUUAUGUCCAUCUCUGAAGCGUCGUCUAGAUAUGAAAGCAUCUCAAGAGCCCUAUAGUAGUACAUCAUCCCUCUCGCGGUGCGGGACAAUGUCUGGCCCCUGUAAGAUGCCCAGAGUCGCAGCUCUGUUGCCUUAGAAUUCCAAAUAUCUUCCACAUUCUCCAAGCCUUCUCUGCGCAUCCUUUCCAAGAAGUUCACCCACUCAUCCUCGUAGACCUUCUGCAGAUAAAACAGAGUUGAAAUUCCAUCCUCGUUCUCUUUUCGAAGGCUGCCUUCUGCGUACAAGACAUCUUCGUCGUAAUAGGGAGUCAAUACAGUGAAAGCCAUCAUCUUUUCCACGCGAGGGGCGAGAGGCAUGUUCAUGAAGAGCGAAUUGCUAAAGAAAGCAAUGCGACGCCUAGCCUCGAGAUUUAAUGGGACAUUGUGCAUUGAGUCCCUGGAUGUAAGAAUUGUAUGUACCCGGCGCAGAUGUCUGUAGAAAUCAGGAUCCUCAGGAAGCUCGACGGCAUUUUCAAAGAGGAAUCCUGCAUCAGUGGCUUGGUCUAGGGGUGCCAGACCCUCCUGCUGCAAAGCUCUAAUCGACUUCUUAUCCUUUGGGAAUUCUCGAACGGAAAGUUCGUAGAGAGCCUGCAGUACAUUCACUAUCUGGCUCAUAUCUUUUGUUUCCCUCAACAGAAGCUGAAGGAGUAGGCUUAAUUUUGCAUGAAUAUCUGUAAGAAUUGUCAUUUUAUGAAGUUUCGUGAUCUCCCCAUUCUGAAUAUGCAUAUCAAUACAAUCGAGCAACUUCAUGACAAUAGAUUUCUCUUCGGUAUAGUCUUUGAUAAUCGUGAUAAUUAAGUACUUGAUGCUAUCAUAUGCUUCGAUAACAGCACAUCGCCUAUACUCGUUGACGCAAAUCUUCAACCAAAGAUACCGGUCAGAAAAUUCCGCCAACUCACUUGCCUGACUCAGGGCAAGAUGCAGCUCGUUGCAGAGGAGAAUACAUGGCCAACAGAAUACCCCAAUCUUCCAACGGUUGGGCAGUAGCUCCAAAAGCUCAAAUUCUCUGUCACUAAUGAGAUCUUCUUCCCUGAGAGUUGUAAUAAUUUCAUUCCAAAUCAAUGCAAACCUUUUCCCUUCCACUUGACUGGAAACUAUAUUUUUGUAGGGCUGACCAAGACCAUAACGCAGUUUCAGCCGCUCGAUCGCAUCACGCAACUUUUUGACUAUCGUCGCUUUAGUACUUGAAGUCUGCUGCUCUGGCAUUAGAUUAAACUGUAGUGCACUAGCGAAAAACUGAAACCUAAGACGCAGCUGCUCAAUAUUCCGUAUUUCGCCCAAAUGUGAAAACAGUCCAAUCGUCGCACCAACAAGAGAAGAGAAGAUAGAGUACCAAAUUUGCAAGUCCAUAAGGUAUAGCAAGAUAACAGGAGUCCACAUCAUUAUUACAGCCAUCCUAUUAUUAGGUUUACCGAUGAACUUGUGCCAUGUGUCCUUUACAUCGGGAAGAGCUAAAAGAGACUUUGUUGGAGCGACUAAAGGCUUGAUUUGCAGGAAAUAACUGAACGAAAUUUUGCUAACCAACACCACAACCCAAAAGAGCGCAUACUUUAUGUUAUUCACAAGCCCUUCUCUCACGCCGCGACCCACAAAAAUUCGAGUGUGGAACCACCAUGUAAACAGAUACAAUAGGGUCCAAUUAAACUCUUCAAUCCCGAUCCGGAUCCAAGGAAGAAUGAAAAGCGCCAAGGCCAGCAACUCUGGAAUUACGUACACUAACGCAGUCUUGAGAUAUACAACGAUCCUCCGAUCAGCCUCUCGGGACCAAUUGCCAUCAGCAUUCUUCUGACUCCAUAUUCUCGCAUAGAACACCGAAAACACGACUAUCCAAGUCACGGCAACGAGACUCUUCAACACCAUCCUCAACCCGAGAAAGAACGUCUCUUUCGAAACCAAACUAUACUGCGUCCCCGCGUCGAGCACGGAUUGCAGCAACCUAAGUCCACUCCAGGUGAUAAACAUCGUUAACAGCUUCACCUGCACAUCCCUCCUCUCCAAUGCCUGCCAGGGGUACUCGGUCUCCUCCCAAGCGGUGAUUACCAUCGCCUGCAGCAAGAGAAUCAACAAAACCCAGAGCCUAUCGAAGCUACGGAAGACGUUCCAAAACGACCUCUGCUCCACAAACCCCGUCUUCCCCACCCUCUCACUCUUGCUUGCAGUUGCAAAGUAAUUACAAUUCAAUUCCAACGGCCAUUUCAGCGUCUUGAAACAUCUCCUGCUCCAAAAGUACUCAUUCAGAUCAUCGUAAUUCCGCCAAGCGGAAUGCGGGGCGCUCCCGUUCCUACUGUCCUCAACCUCAGUCUGAAUGGUCUGAUAAAUGGGCAUCACGACGGACUUCAAGAACGCAUUUUUGCCGGGGAACUUGGGCAAGUAUGGCCUGCCCGUGAGCCUAUCAAUCCUUUCCUCCAGAAAGGAGUUCAAUUCAUCGGCCAUAUGGUGAAACACAUAGCAAAUGCACUCGGGCAUGAACCGCAAGUUCGCGGACUCGCCCCAGAUGAGCAGAUAGAGAGCCACGUACAGCAAUUCGCGGCGGAGGGUCGAGACGUCGACGCGGAAGGCGGUGGAGAGCCCGAGGAGUUUGUGGCGCAUCCCGAGGUAGGAGCACCAGAGGGUGUAGUUGAGGAGGAGCUUCUUGCGGAAGGAGCGGACGACGCCGGGGUCGAGGGCGUCGGCGUUCCGCGGCGGGGGGUUGAGGCGCAUUUGGGCGUUGGCGAGGUGGAGGACCAGGUGCUCCCGC
rnacentral:lncRNA from 1 species